ACUGAAACAUCACUUCUCAUUUGCUGUUUGGAUAAUGGUGAUGGAACUGCUGCUUUAUUGCCCACGGAGAAGCGAAGUGAAGAGUCUAAAGUGGGUCUUGCAGUUACACUGGACAAAAGAAGUUUGAAACUGAGGCUUGGUCUUGAAGAACACAUAGAGAAGGCUGACAGAUUAUAUAUAUUCACAGCUUUGGCUUAAAGGUUGCUGGUUGACCAAGAAAUAAUGUAAGAAGAAAUGGUCUUUUCUGGAAUUGUCCUUCUUUCCAGGUAUCAAUGGUGAGCAGAAGAGGAGCAGGGGAUGAUGAAAGACCACACAUUCUCCAAAAGUCACUAAGCACUGUCCACAGAUGGAACAUUCAUAUUUUCAGAUAGUGUAACCCUAUGCAAGUUGCCAGUCUUCUCUAAACAACACUCUUCCUCAUCUAUAAAGUAAAUAUUAAUACCUACCUGAAGGUGGCAGAGAGUUAACUCAGAUAAUUUGGUUAACGAG